rnacentral:rRNA from 1 species
UACGAAGGGGGCUAGCGUUGCUCGGAAUCACUGGGCGUAAAGCGCACGUAGGCGGAUCUUUAAGUCAGGGGUGAAAUCCUGGAGCUCAACUCCAGAACUGCCUUUGAUACUGGGGAUCUCGAGUCCGGGAGAGGUGAGUGGAACUCCGAGUGUAGAGGUGAAAUGCGUAGAUAUCUGGAGGAACACCGGUGGCGAAGGCGGCAUCCUGGACCGAUACUGACGCUGAUGAGCGAAAGCCAGGGGAGCAAACGGG